GGGGUGAGGACGAGCCCACCCUGGAGCAGCUCCGGACCCCCCAGCCCGGGGAGGGGGAGGAAGAGGAGGAGGACGUGGAUUUUGAGACAGAGCUGCUGACGACCCCCCCCGGGAUGAAACGGGGGGUGCAGUUCCAGCCCCGAGCCUCGGGGGGGUCUCUGUCCCUGUCGGGGCUCCUGGAGACCCUCGAGCCCCUGGAGCUGGGGGGGGGUCCCGGCCCAGCCCGGGGGUCUCCCCCACCCCCCCCGGGAGGAAUUGGGGAGGGGUCUGCGCCCCCCCCGACCCCCCCGCGGCGCUCGGACAGCCUGGAGGAGCU